AGCUAAUCUUGAUCGGGUAUUUAACUUCGUUUUGGUGAUUUAAUAACUUCGAAUCUUGGUUCAUUCAAAUUUCUUAUCAACUUUGUGGUAGGAUGAGGCCUAUGGACGGGACGGGGAAUAAGGGUUCGACGGAGAGGGAGCCUACGGCUACC
rnacentral:rRNA from 1 species